CAGCAGGACGGCAUCUGCUGUGGGACCGUGGAGGCAGGACAACUGUGUUCCAGUCACAGGCUAUUUCCAGUGACGAGAGACGAAUCUGUGAGGAAGAGGAGGAGGAGGAAGGGGGGGGAGGGUAGCGUCACAAAUGCCACAAUUUCAGAUAGGUGAAGAUGACUCAAACUUUGGUGCUCCUCGGCAUCGUCAUCGUGCUGGCACAGCUGACUAAGCCUGCGUUUCUAUUCCUCCAGCUUUUUUUUUUCCAUUUCCAGUCUUCAUAGCUCUCAAUCCACUAAUAAUUUUUCAAAUUUCCCUGAUGCCAAAGUCACUUGGCGCCGGUCUUUAGAUGCUUGUCAAAGUCAACAACGCUCCCCGGAUCCCUCCUUCUUCUGAAACAGGCUACACUUUCGCCUUGUGCCAGUGUGAGCUCCCAUCUGUUGUCCUGGCACCGUCCGUGUGCGUGGAGAUUAACUACCUCCUAGCACUGCAAGCUGCUCCGGGCCAAACAUGGAGCCGGCCCGCACAAACACAAGCGCCGCCACCUCCAUGUCUUGCUGGCGGCGCUUAAAUUAGAUGGCUGUCAGAGCAGCAGCUCCCAGGAGUGUCCAGACUUUCAUCUAUGAAGGGUCCAGCCCGUCUUUUGCUCAGGAAGCAGCGCAGCAAAAAGGAAAACAAACCUGGCUGCGGCCCCCCCACAGGUCAGACUUUCACCGAAGAUUAAUCCAUGAAAAAAUGAUGGACCCAAAACUGACACGGCCAGGAUUUCUCGACCACAAUGCAGUGCGGCUGCCAGCCAGCCCCGAGGGAGCGCCGUAGGUUGGAACAAAUGUGCUGUCAGAAGGAUGUCCUGUCCCUGAGGAUCCAAAGCCCCUUUCUUAAAUUUAGACGCCAGCGUUUUGGCACAUUUAGCUGUAUUAUGACUUCAUUUUGGAAAAAAUCUUAAAAAAAAAAAGAAGUUUACUUUACUUUACUUUAUUUCAAGUAAAGCUCUACUUGAAAAUGUUUAACUUUCUGUCCUGGAAGCGUGUUAAAAGAGAAAAAAAUAUGAAACUAAAAAUAAAAUGUGACUCAUAUAAAAAUGACACCUGAAACCAGAGAUCAGAGGGAAAACCUGGGACCUUCGACCCUGAACUUCAAUCCACGGAGAAGGAACUACCUGGAAAAGAAACCAAUGUGAAGAAUUUAAAACUGGACCGAAGGACCGGAUUGUUUUCCCUUGAAGUCACCGCCACAAACUGAAAAACUCACCGAAAUUUGCACAAAAUUGAACGGGUCCAAAAAAUAUACAACCACAACCAAACUUUUGUUGACCUUUGACCUCAGUAAGAGGCCGCCACCCUGAAUAAUAAUAAUAAAGCAUCACCUACAGAUUUAAACUCCUAGGGCCAGUUGUUCAAAGGUAAGCUGAUCGGAUUUUGGUGAUCGGAUUGGAUCAAAUCUUGAAAAUGGGUUGUUCAAAAGGGAAAGAAGGAAUCUGAAAUCAGAUUAGAUCACAGAAUCCAAUCCUAGUUCUAAUCUGGAUCAAACCUUCAGUUUGUGUUGCUCAAAACUUGUCAGUAGGAUUUGGAUAACUUUGAUCCAAAAAAACUGGAUUAUCCUGAUCCCAACAGGGGGUAGGAUUUAAAGGUGGAUUCCAGGAGGGAAAUGUAGAAAAACUUUAAAACUGGUCAAAUAAUACAUUUGUUUCAUUUAGUAUUUAUACUUUUAUUUAUAUUUGCACUUGACUUGUGUAACCAUUGUAACAGUGAUGAAGUAGAUACAGUAGACAUAGGCUACCAAUGAAGCUAUAAAAAAGCAGAGCUUGGAAAUGCUGGUCUCUCCUCCUCAGAUAAAAAAACUCCCUGAACAUUCUUUAACAUUCAUUUUUGUUAACUAUUGGACAUUUAGCCAUUUUAUUUAAGACGUUUUCAAAAUAUCCACAAUGUAUUUUUUAAUGUAUAUUUGUUUUUUUAUUUUUUGUGACUCAGAUAAGGGGUCAUAAAGGAAAUAAUGAAUGGAAGUGGAUGUUUGUUAUUUUUGUGUUUUGUCUCAGAAUAACAAACUCUCACAGUGACCCCAUGUUGGCUCUUCUAUCUGUUCUUUACAUAGCUGGUAGCCCGUGUUGUGAUAUGUUGUCUCAUUUAGAGCACAGCUAAUCUGGAUUUGGUAAUCUUGAAAACUGUGUAUCUGGAUCAGGGUGAUCCAGUCCAAUGUUGCUUUGAAAAACCGGCAUAAAAGUAAGACGGAUUACCUGAUCCUGCAUAGGAAGAAAUGUGAUUUCCAAAUCCGGAUCAUUUUGAUCCAGAUUAAACUUUUUGAACAACUGGCCCCUUGAGAUUCGGAUGAAUCCCCCCCCCCCCCCCCCCCGACUCCUCGAGCAUCAUCGGGAAGCUAACUGGUGAAAGAAAGUUGGAUUUAGACGUUUAGACUUUGAACGCCGUCAAAGUGGCGAGCUUUUUACAAAAACAUUGUGAAAAAUGAAUACAUGAAUCACAGGCUCAAGCUGAGCGAAAUGAAAUAACAUACGAUAUGAAGGCGUUAGGAUUGUGGGCGUGGUCAACAAAAAAGGAAAUCCAAAAAUGCACUUUUGUUGAUUCUUCUCAAAAUUGCCUAGACCUGUCCGUCACCCCCAGGCAAGAAAAAUAAAUAAAACCAACAAAAAAUAAGACGCCAUUUGGAAAAAAAAGAAAGUUAUUUUGUCACGUGAAUGUCUGACCAGUGUGGCGGGGGCAGAGGGGUAGAAUGUAGCACCAAACAACGGCACUCAUAGCUUUUUUAUUGUAAAUUAUUAUUUGUAUUAAUUUCAUGUUGGAAGAUUUUCUGACCUCAUUUCCUUCUGUGUUCUUCUUCUAAUCCAAAGUACAUCCAUCUAUUGAUUUUGUGGAAUCGAUGGAUUCUAUAGAAUCAAUAGAUGGUAUAUAGUCCAUAUAGUCCCGAUAUUCUAUGGGAGGAGUCUCAUCCUCGAAAGAGAGGUUGGUUCGCUGUGGCGACCCCUGAUGGGAAAAGCCGAAAGACAAAGAAGAUUCUAUGGGGAUGUGGAUGGACCAAACUAGUUCCGUUUAAAGACUUCCUGCUAUUUAAAUCACAGAGAAGACAAUCGGCUAAAAUUUGUACAACUACAUUUAUUUUAAAAAACCAACCAAACACCCACCUGGGAUGAAACAGUUAAUGGAGAGAGACAUUUUUAAAAGCAUACAAACCAGCAAACCGUUAAUCUAGCAGCAUCCAAAAGUUGGAAUCUCCAAAACCAUUAUUUAUAUAUUCAAAUAUAUAGUUUUGUCUUGUUUUUUAUUUCCUUGUUGUCGAAUUUCUUUUCUUUUUUUUCUUGCCCUGGCAAGCUACACACUUUACAACAUACACAGAGCUUUAUUUGUCCUUAGUGCAGAAAACAAAGACCCUUAAUAAAAUAAACCGCUUUAGGUUAAAUAAGCUUAAAUAAUAGAGUUAAAUACAAGACACUUCUGUGGCAGUUCUGUACACAAAUAAACACAUUUGGCAUUGUAAGUGUGGUUCACCGGCGCUCGCACUAAUGCUCUAGAAACCACUGCAUAAGAACUCAUUUUGCUGUCAUCAACUACACACACGCAGACGCAUUCACACAUGAGAUUAGAUCGUGAGCCACAGACAAGGCAUGUGUUUAUCAAAAGAGAACAAAGAAACAAUCCUUUUACAACCAGUUUUAGGCACAGGCUCCUCCAGCGUCAUAAAUACAUAUUCAAUCCCACUGCUUCUGAAAAGAAAAAGGGUUCACGUUUUGUGCUAACUUCUUUUUUCUUAAACACAGUUUUGCAACUACCACUUUGUUAUUGCUAAGACAUGGUGACAGUGAAUGAAAACUACUGACGAAGGUGUGCAGGGAAAAGCACAGUUGAACAUCAAAACAACCGCCAUGAGACCCUACAGCACAAUACAGAGGAAAGAAAACGCAGGUGGAAGUGAGUUCUUUUCUAAAACAAAUCAGAACAUGUCGAACCUUUGAACCAGGCGUUCCCAAAUCCAGCCUCCUGCUGGUUUUCCAGAAACCCCGCCUUUUCUGCUGCUGCGGCUGAUUACCUGGAUCGGGCGUGUUUGGCCAAUAAGGAGCUUCAAUGGCAGGAUGGUUGGAAAACGGGCAGGACACCGACCGGCCCUCCA